CUCUUUCUUAGCUUCCUCAAAAUGAUUGCUGGCAUCCUGUAGUGUUUCACCUAGCAAUAGACCCUCCAAACGACGUUCGAAUAGGAAUUACAUAUGUAUGUAUGUAUGAACUGUCAUUCGAAAACACUGCCAAAUAAAUGAAUUUUGUCAGAUGUUGGGUAGUAUAUAUGAAUGCGGACACAACAUUAAAAAAAAUGCUGCGAAAUUACAUAAUAUACGAAUAAUGCACAUCAAGUUCUUGCAUAAUUACAUAUAUUCCUGGACCUGUGUAUACUGCCUAGAUAUUUGGAAUACAUCGAUCAAACAAGACUGAUUCCAUAGGUAUUCUAACUGAAAUCUCCUUACCCUGCUGGAAAUUUCAAUAGCAAAGRUAUAUUCGAUUUAUUGUAUUAAAUAUAUUUUCAAAAAUACCGAUGGUACUUAUUGGCUUURCACGAACUAUGUGAUAUAAUCUCCAGGUAUGUAUUUACACCAUGGCUUACUAUUUUAUAAGAAUCUGAUGUAUAAAGUCUAAAUAAAACUAAAUGUUAAAUCUUAUUUACAUAUGUAUGUAUGUAUCGGUGUACUGGAGACUCAAGAGCUGAAAUCUUGAAAAACCAAGAAAAGUAAACUGCGGUUAAGCCUAAGUUAUAAUACGCUUCACAGGUGCGUUUCUAAAUGGAACUAUGUGGGGACUAUGGGGACCAAUGAUUUGUAUCUAACGUAAAAUUGUUUGCCUGUACAGCCACAAUAAUCCAUGUCAAAUUUCGUAAAGAAAUCUUGUCAAAUAAGAAACAUACGUACUUUAUUUUAAUGGACUAGUUUGUAUGGAAGAUGUAUGAAGAUUCAGAUCAAUAUAUCAAAUGUUAAUGAACUAGUUGACUACAUACGUAUAUACAGACGGAUCGACUCAGCUCG